UACGAAGGGGGCUAGCGUUGCUCGGAAUCACUGGGCGUAAAGGGUGCGUAGGCGGGUCUUUAAGUCAGGGGGGAAAUCCUGGAGCUCAACUCCAGAACUGCCUUUGAUACUGAGGAUCUUGAGUUCGGGAGAGGUGAGUGGAACUGCGAGUGUAGAGGUGAAAUUCGUAGAUAUUGGGAAGAACACCGGUGGCGAAGGCGGCUCACUGGCUCAUUACUGACGCUCAGGCGCGAUAGCGUGGGGAUCAAACAGG
rnacentral:rRNA from 1 species